rnacentral:rRNA from 1 species
UACAGAGGGGGCAAGCGUUAUUCGGAAUUAUUGGGCGUAAAGGGCGCGUAGGCGGACAGUUUAGUCAGAGGUGAAAGCCCAGGGCUCAACCUUGGAACUGCCUUUGAUACUGGCUGUCUUGAGUUCGGGAGAGGUGAGUGGAAUGCCGAGUGUAGAGGUGAAAUUCGUAGAUAUUCGGCGGAACACCAGAGGCGAAGGCGACUCACUGGCCCGAUACUGACGCUGAGGCGCGAAAGCGUGGGGAGCAAACAGG